CUUGGGCAGGAAGAACCUGUCUCACAGGUGUGUGUCUCCGCCCUCUCUGGCUUCUCCACAGCCACGCCUUCUUGGUCUUGCGCAGGCGCUUCAGCAGCGAGUGUUGCGCAGGCCAGGCCUGUAGGCCAUGGUUAGGCUACUGCCUUGUGAACCGCUACUUCAGCUGCCCUAGGACACGUCCAGCAGCUGGUCCACUCCACACCACAGGGUCCAUUUACCCCACCUUCCGUCACCAUGCCUCCGAAGAGUGGUGGACCCUGUGACAGGCCUCCUGGAAGAUUUUCAUCCUGUAAGACACUGCCUACAACAGAGCGAGCCUCCAUUCCCAUUUGGCCAGCCCAGGGUGCCAUAGGCACAUCUGGUCACCCCAAGUGGCAGAGGCAGGCCUGUGCCUGAGAAAGAACUGGAAAUUACCUUUGGACAAUGGUCUUGAGCACUCUUCCCUCAGGAAAGGAGAAAAGCCACCAAGAUGCAUCUGAUUGCCUGCUUCAGUCUUUGUCUGUGGCUGGCACACACUCAGGAAAAAUACAAAGUACCCAGUGUCUUUCUUAUUAAAUAAAAGAAAUGACAGCCCACAGCGCAUUUCUUU